AUUCACUCCCAGCACACACACGACUCACAAAUGAAAACUGGGAAGGAGAGCGUGGAGAAAAUGGAGGUAUAUAGAUCCCACAGAAAGUGAGGAAUUUGCUGCUCCACCUAGAGGAAACAGUGAUUUCUUUUGAGAAGAGGCCUGUUUGAUGUCUUUACGAAUAUGUUCAGUAAGCCUGCUCUGGGGAAAGCAUAUUGUAGCUCAUGAUGCCUGAUGAUGGGUCUGCUCUAAGGUCAAUGUUUUAAAUGCAGAUUUCAGCUUCAGAAGCUACACCAGUGACAACUGUGAAUAUGGAUAUGACAACAAGCUUGGAAUUACAAGGUUGACAUCAAUGACUUAUUAAUAUUAAGUGAGACAAGGAUGUAAGACUUGGAAACAUAGAUGGCAUGCAAGAGGGCAACCUGCUACUUCUUUCACAUGAU